GGCACUUGCAACUUUAUUGCGCCAGCAAGAACAUGCAUACAGCCCAGUCUAACGUACAGGAUCAAAAAGAGACCUUAUUUCGGCUGGCAAUUACCUUACCCGCUUGUUCAUUAUCUGACUCCUGCACUCCUCCCAAGUGUUCAAUGUUAACCAGAUGGCAAAGUUAACCAGACAGAGGAAAUCCACAUAAUUACUCUAGAUGAAGCCCCCUAACUGCGGAUUAGAAGGAAAAGAGAUGAAGGGUGCUGCACUAAUAAUAACAACCAUUUUCAACCAAGGCAGGAUUCUGGGCCUAGAAUCUUCAGUGACAAAUUACCAGGAGAGGAGGAGGGAAAUGAAGAGCUGGAGGCCUAGGGAGAUGGUGUGAGGAGAGGAGACUGUGCCUUUCCACUUCUUAAUAAUUAAUGUUCUCCUGCUGCUCUGAGUCUGCAUCACCAGUGAUUCAGUUUGAGUCAGACAUCCAACAACAACUGAGCAAAAGAAUCAUCUCAGAUCCAAGCAAUGGUGACGCGCAGAUAGAAGAGACUGAGGCCAACGACCAAAGCAAAGGACAGCAGAACUGACUGACACAGCUCAGAAAAUAUCCAAAGCUCUGUAUGCUCUGGAAAGGAAGACAAGAAAUGCUAAAGACUCUGGAUAUUGCUCUGUUUCUAUAAGGUCCCACCCAUAUACCAUCUCUUCUUUUGGAUUUCCUUUGGCAGGGUUCCCUUGUAUGGAAGUUCUCAGGAGAACAACACUCUCAGAGUCCCACUGUCUCAAAGAAUUCUUAAUGGACAGCUAUACUUGGCCCCAAGGUUUCAACCUCACACUGAAGAAAGUGACAUAAGAAAACACAAGUCCCAGUGCUAUCAGGGGCUAUCUGGAAAAGCUGCUUAAACAGCAAGUGAAAGAAGGCUCUCCCCUACCCCGUUCUAGAUGACAGGUCCUAUGUAAGAUACACAUACCACAUGCUGUCAACCCAUCUGAGACACUCAGCUUUCAAAUGACAGUUCUUCUCUGAAGCUAACCUAGCCAAAAGAGUGAAAUACACUAUCUGUUAAGCUGUGUCAGUAGCUAAGUCUGUGUGUCUAAAUUAAAAACAUACUCACCCUGAAGUUAUUUGAAGGAUCCUUGAGACUCUUUUGGAUUGCUGCUUGGAGAACAUUCCUGUAACUUGUCCCUGCUCCUUGAACUAUAAAAGCAGAAGGGAGGUACUGAGUUAAAACUUACAAAUUAUUAUCAAAUAAAUCUUCAAUAGUGGUUCAGUCCAA
rnacentral:lncRNA from 1 species